rnacentral:lncRNA from 1 species
UUUUAGAUCCAAAAUCGAUUAUGAAUCUUUUUUAACAUAAAAUCAAACAUAUAAUUUUUGUUCUAAAAUCAAUUAUGAACUUGAAAAUAAUUCUUUUUUUUUUUUUUGCUUUUAACUCAUAAUCAAUUCUAACAUGAAACAAAGCACACAUACUUUUUUCUUGAUAAUUAUCGGAAACCUUGAGCACACACAAAAUGAACAUUUCCCUUUUAAUACGAUUUAUAACCUAAGGACAAAUUAUAAUUCGAACCCUAAACCACUUUUAUUGUGCCAAACUCUUAUUGAUCCAAACACAUAAUUAAUACAACUGAAUGGAUAUAAUGACUACAUUUUAUCGCCCUCUUUCAUGUAGAUGGAGAAUAAUGGAGGCUUCAAAGUCUUGGUCUAUCCCAACGUGGACUACGCAUUCAUAGUGACACUACUUAUGAUUAUUGAUGACAUCAAAGAUUAUGAUGUGUUGGUAAAUGCGACGGUGAGUAGUGUCCUAACUGUGGCGACGGGGGGUAUCUUACCUAUUCUGACAUUGUUUGAGGGAGAAAAUUUAGAAGAAGAAACCUUAGAUGGAGAAAACUUAGAAGAAGAAUACUUACAAGAAGGAGAAAACAACUCAGGUGGAGAAAACUUAGAUGGAGAAAACAACCCAGAAGGAGAAAAUUUAGAAGAAGAAACCUUAGAUGGAGAAAACUUAGAAGAAGAAUACUUACAAGAAGGAGAAAACAACUCAGGUGCAGAAAACUUAGAUGGAGAAAACAAUCCAAAAGGAGAAAAUUUAGAUGGAGAAAACAACCCAGAAGGAGAAAAUUUAAAUGGAGAAAACUUAGAAGUAGAAAACAACUUCGAAGCUGAAACUUAGACGCAGCUUCGUAAGUGAGUGCUUGUGGUAUUGUUCUCUAAUUGGCAUUAAUGUUUAUGUAGUUUCAUGUCAAUAAUAAUCUGCAUAAUAAAGGUUUUCAUUAAAUGUAAAUGCAGAUUAGUCAGCUGGUUAAAUUCUUAUUAUGUCGUCGAAGUUUUAUUGUUGUAUAUGAAACAAAUUAAAAUUAAAUCUUGGGCAUGAUUUUGGUUAGAACAGGUUGUAUCUUUUCAUUUUAGUGCAUGAAUAAAAUUGAGAAGAUAUUGUAAAUAAAAAAAGAUGUAAUAUUUUUCGUAGUUUUUUUAUAAAAAAAAUUGAGUAAUGAUAUUGGAACACUAUUAUUUUGAAUAUUUAUCAACACUUGUCAUUUUUUUUAUCUUUUUCUUUCUACCACGUCAAAUCACUAAUGCGUAUAAUAUGAAUGGACAAAAACAAAUAUAUCUUACAUAAUAUAGUAUCGAAGAUUAAGAGUCCGGAUAUCGAAUGCACGUGACAAAUUGUGUUCUUAAAAUAAUAUAUUUUAUUUUGCAACUAAGUAAUUGAGGAAAGAAAUUAAAUUAAGAUGGAUUGAUGGUCAAUUAUCUAAUGCAAGAUCAAAUCUAAACGAGUAAGAUAGUAUCGAGUAAGAUAGUAUGAAAGAGAAGAUGAUUUCAGGCAUACCAAUUCCACCAAUACUAAUUCUAACAAGAUUCUUACGAUUGUUAAUUGUCGAUUUUCUAAAGUCAAUUAUUAGUCAUUGAUUGUAGUCUAAUAAUGGUCAAUUAUUAGUCAUUGAUUGUGGUCAAUUAUUAAUCAAUUUCCUAAUUAACCUACUAGAGGUUAUCCAACCAGUUUGGCAUGCAGUUUGAUAUAAAACACUUUUUUUCCUAAUUCUACCAAUUACAUGUAAAUGAUUACUGUUAAGCAAUCAAUUAUGUAUUAGUACAUCCGUUUCCACCAACCAAUUUGGUCAUGUAGUUUGGUAUAAAACACUUUCUUCCUAAUUCUACCAUUAAAUGCAAAUGAUUACUAUUAUGCAAUCAAUUAUGUAUUAGAACAUCCAUUUCCAAAAUAGAAAUUAAAAGUAAAGAAGAUAAUCAAUUAACUAAAUGACAUCGAGAAUUUCAUUAAAAUUAAGAAAGGAGUUCAAACUAGGUUACAUCAUAAUAAUCGAACUAGGAAGACUAGUCGCUCAUUGUACACACUAUUACAAAAAAAACUUUUUUAACGUGUCUUACUUGGCAUCUUGCUUGCAUGAGUAAGUACAAGUGUACAAUCUGUUUUAAAUUAUGUGUGUAUUGGUUUGUUCUAAUGGAUUGGUUUGUUCGAGAAAUAGAUCAAAACAACUAGAAAGAUCAUGCAUCAAAGACAGAAAAUGGUGGUGAGUCUAGGAGGAUUUCUAGGUCUUUUAUACAAUGAUGUCAAUGUGACAUGUGAGCAUUUUCAUGGGAGAAAGAUAGAGAGAAAAAGAGAGAGGUAGGGGUGACAUGGAUGAAGUUACCAUUACCAAACAAUUUAAUAUCAUUUUAUUCCUCAAAUUAGUCACUUUAGUUCUUGAAAAAAAAAGUGUUAUGGUUACUAUAAAUUAUAAAAAAACACCCCUAAAAUCUUCAUUUUUGACUCUUAUUAUGUAGAUAAUGAACAACAUCUUAUUUUACUAACAAAGUUUGUAGAUGGCUAACAGUAGGGAUUAACUUGGAUAACAUAAUUCAAUGUCAAAGAUUUAUUUUUCAUGUAUCUAAUUUUAGGAACUAAUAUUUUUUUAUUGGUAAGAAUUGAGCAUGGUAUUAAAGAAUUUACAAUACUCACACAUCUUACUCAACCAAUUAAGUUAGACCCCUUAAUAUUUUAGGAACUAUACCCCCACAAUUUUAGAGACUAAAAUGAUGAUUUGAUCCUUUUUAUUUUUUGUCGAAGAUGAAGAAAAAAGGAAGAAAAAAAGAUUCAGAUUUUUUUUUAAAUAUCUUUAUAUCUAUUCAUAACUUUUAAUCUUAAAUAAGAAUAUGAUGCGUUCUUUGUUAGUAAGAAGCAACAAAGGAAUAAGAAUAACAAAAAAGCACAUGAUAGGAAAUGAGAGCAAGCUCUCCAAGUCAGAGAAUAUCCUCUAGACUCCAAAUUUCAUUCAAAUCCCUCGUACCCCUUACAAUGACCGCCUUCCUUACAUAUAACUGAAUUCCCCUCUCCAUUGAUUUUCUCCUCUAACAAACUUAUUCCCCCUCUCACAAAAGUCUACUGCUAAAUAGACAAAUUUUCCCUCUUGGGCCUGAUGGCAUAUACUUUAUCAAAUCUACUCUUGGACUUAAGUAUUUUGAGUUGCAAAAUAAUUUUAUAGGAUUUAAGUAUUUUGAGUUGUAAAAUAAUUUUAUAUUUUAUGAAUACUGUGACUUAUUAAAUAAGUUAUGAGAUUAUAUUUUAUUAUGAAUGAGUUACUUAAAUUGCUUAAAGGUUUAUGACUUAUCUUUUUUUGUUUAUCCGAUAAUACAAUUUUUAAGUUUGAGGAUUUUAUUUUAUGGGAUUAUAUUUUAUUGUGAGUAUAUGUAUAAUAUUGAUUUUAAAAAAAUGUCCCUUACUAAUUUUUAAGUUUGAGGAUUUUUUUUUCAAAACUUAAAGAUGUGUUAAUUUUUUAAGGGUCCAAUUCUAUAACCAACCCAAUCCAAUCUUAUAUAUAAAAGUUAGAUUAGAUUAGAUUGAGUUGUAAAAAAAAAAGGUAAGCUCAAUCUAACCCAACCCAAUUAAAUUUAAUUAGAUUAGGUUGAAAAGGAAAUAAAACUUAACUCAAUCCAGCUCCUAAUCUAAAAUAUACAUACUAUGCCAACCUUCUUGGUAUUGGAUAGAAAUUUCACUAUUAAUUAAUAAUGUUGUAUUGUCUGCCAUAUUUUAGGUUCUAUAUUUGGUUUAAAGGUGGGAGGAAAAUAAUUUUAAUGAAAGAGGGAGAAGAAAAGAGAGGUGAUUACACAUUUUGUUUGGUUUAGAGAAAAAUAGAGAUUUUAAUAGAAUGAGAGAAAAUAAUCAUUUUCUUGUUUGGUUCAUAACUAGAGAAGGAAUUUUGAAAAUUAAUUUCCUUGCAUGUUUAUAUAAUUUUAUUUUCCAAAACAUAAGUAGAGAUAUUUUAGUUAAUACUCAUCAAAUAUGUUUUAAAUGUUUUUAUUUUUUUCUCCCAAAAAUUAAACCAUUAUAAAAUUUUAUAAAAAUAUAUCCCUACAUCCCUCUUCCACCAUUUUCUUUUAACCAAACACUAUAUAUGUUAGAGUGAAUUAAUUAGAAAGAGAAAAAAAAAACAAAAAGAAAGAAAGUAAUAAAUAUGAUAUAUAAUGUGACUAACAAGUUGAUCCGGUCAAGGUAAAAACAACUCAAAUUUAUUAAUAUAUUUUAAAAUAAUCUCAUUUUGGUAAUUAGUUUAUAAUUUCCCUUCUCAUCUUUCUCUCUUUUUUUUCCUACUUUGAAAGUAAUAAAUGUAAUACAAAUUAAAUAAACACAUUCUAUUUGGAUAAUUAAAAAAAGUACAUAUCUAAAAUAUACUAUGCCAACCUUCAUGGUAACCUAUAAAAAGUGUUUGGAUAAGAUUAUUUUUCCAAAAUCAAAUUCAGUUUCAGUCAAAACAAAAAAUAAUUAUUUCUACUUUUUCAUCAUAAUUUUGAGAACUUAAAUUGAUUCCAGUAGUUAUCCAAACACACCAAUAUAGGGUGGAUUCAAAAUGAAAGAAUAGAAGAAAAUAAAAGAUAGAAAAAGAAUAGUGUAAAUAUGAUAAAUGAUGUAACUAGUGAAUUGAUCCGGUCAAUGGUAAAAAGCAUCUAAAUCUCAUAAUAUAUCACAUUUUAGUCAUUAGUUUCUUAGAGUGUCCUGUUUUGGUGAACCAUUCCUUAGUAAAAUUACUCUUACCUUAAAGGACUUGCAUGUGUGUGUGUAUAUAUAUAUAUAUAUAUAUAUAUAUUAACUUUUGCAAAACUUUUGAGUGUAAGAGGAUUGUUCAUUCAUUUAUUACUCUAGGUGAAACCUUAUUUGAGUGUCGAAGUGCAUUUUGCACCCAUCCUUCAAAAGAAGAACCCGCUAAGCACACUAAAGCGAGAUACAUCAAAGUGAAAGAUAUAGCAAGGAGAAAGGCAUCUGGGCACUUCAAGCAUGAACAUCAGGUAUGAAAAAAUUUUCUCUCCUACCAAACAUCCUAUAGUUAAUGGAUAUUCUCUCCUCCCUAAUCCCCUUUCUACAUUAUCUUCUCAUUCAUUUCCUUCUUUUGCUAAUUUUCUUCCUACUAAAUGCUACCUUUUAAUUACUUUUCAAAUUUAUCCGAUGAAUUAAGAUAAACAUAUUUUUUAAAUUGAAUAACAAUUGUAAUAUUUGUGUGUGAAAACAAUUGUAAUUUUUUUAUUAUUCCAGUUAUGGGAGCCAAUUGUUAAACCACUAUUUAAUAUUCAUGAGGAUAAAAAUAUCAAACAAUUAAUGAUUUGUUUCAAGUGGCCUUAAACCGACAGUAUGCCAGAGGACUUGUUUUCUUGAGUAUAGGUUCAUGGACAUUUAAUUAUGGUGAUGAUGAUACACUCGAUUUUUCACUAUUUAAAACUGUAAGUUGAUCUAUCCACUUGAUGAUAACGAAACCUUUAAACUAUGUAUUCUUAAUUGAAAAUAAUAAAGUCUUCAUCAUUGCCAGCGGAUGCACAAGCUACACAUAAAAAUUAGGCUUAAUAUAUUUUAACUUUUUAAUUUCUAAUUUGAUGUAUUUUAUCUUUAACUUUUAAAAAAAAUUCUGAAUUUUACUUUAUAAAUUACUGGUCAGUAAAAUACAACGAAGGCCUUAGAUCCAUGUUGAAAGAAUGGCAAUCGGAGAGUGGAGGCAUAAUCUACUACUCCUACUUUGACACUUUUGCCUGCCAUCAACGACCUUAUUCAGACUCCAGCUUCUUAUGGUACCAUUUUAUACGUACAAUAACAUAUCCAAAUAUUAUUUUCUUUCUUAAUUCUUUUCAUUUCUUUAUUAAAAUUAAGAAACUUUCCUUUCUCUUUUAUUUUUUAUUCUAAUUCAAAUAACUUUAAAAUUUAUUAUCUUUCUUCUCUUUUAUUUCUUUCCUCUACCAAAAGAUGUUUAUUAGUUUUGUUUUGAGUAAAUGACCAUUUUAUUUUCUAAAUUUGUAUUUUGUUAUGGUUUUAGUACUUAAAAUCAAGAAAAAUUCAAAUAAGUUCACGAACAUUUUUAGUGUUUCACUUAAAUCUCUGAAAGUAACUUUUUUUCUUUUUCUUAUUUUGGUUCCUAAACUCAUGUUGUUAUUAUUACCUAAGUCCUCGUACUAGGGGUCAAAAUGAAAAAAGAAAAGAUGUUAGGUUAAGAGACUUAUUUGGUGAGAUACAAAUUUAGGAAAUGAAUUGGCUAUUUACUCUUUUGUUUUUAUAAAGUUGAUUUCUAAUUAAAAUAAGUUUAAAUCACUUUUCAGGAUUUAGUGAGCCAGAGCUCCCAGCCUGCCAUUGUCAAACCUUUGUCCUAACAGAGACAAGAUCACAUCUUCUUUGACCAAUUCCAUCCUACGGAGGCGUUGCUCGUUUGUUUGUUAUUUGUUAAUAAACUUUUUUAUGGCCCUUCAAGUUACACAUUGUAGAAAAUAAUAUUAUAAAAUGUAACAAUUUUAUUAUAUAUAACCCAUUGAUGGCCCUUCAUAUUUAUCCAAUAGCUUAUCUCUAACUUUGAACAUUAACAUUGCAAUCGCGCUUCUGUUUUUAUUUUUUUUAAUUUUGAAAUUUGUAAAAAAAUCUUUCAUUCUCUUUUCACUGCUAAUUUUCUUCCUACUAAAUGCUACCUUUUAAUUACUUUUCAAAUUUAUCCAACGAAUUAAGAUAAACAUAUUUUUUAAAUUGAAUAACUAUUGUAAUUUUUGUUGUUGUUGAAAACAAUUAUUGUUUUUUAUUACUCCAGUUAUGGGAGCCAAUUUUAAACCACUAUUUAAUAUUCAUGAGGAUAAAAGUAUCAAUCUACAAUUAAUGAUUUGUUUCAAGUGGCCUUAAUCCGACAGUAUUUGGAGGACUUGUUUUUUUUAGUAUAGGUUCAUGGACAUUUAAUUAUGGUGAUGAUGAUAGUACCAUGAUAUACUCGAUCGUUUACUAUUUAAAACAGUAAGUUGAUCUAGUCUCUACUUGAUGAUAACAAAACCUUUUAACAAUGUAUUCUUAAUUGAAAAUAAUAAAGUCCUCAUCAUUGCCAGCUGAUGCAUAAGCUAUCCAUAAAAAUUAGGUUUAAUUGUAUAAUUUUUUUAAUUUUUGAUGAAUUUUAUUUUUAACUUUUUAAUUUGACAUAUUUUACCUCUAAUUUUUAAGAAGCUUGUGAAAUUUAUCCUUCCCAUUUAUCUAUUAAAAAGCAUAAUAAUUGAUGGUAAAAUUUGUCAAAAAAAUAAAUAGUUCAAGAGUAAAAUUCGUAAAGAAUAAUAAGUCAGGGAUAAAAAGUACAAUUAUAUUAAUAGUUAAAUGAUGGGAGUAAAAUUCACAAGAUUCUUAAAAUUUGGGAUAAAGUAUAUCAAAUUAAAAAAAUUAAGGUAAAAUUCACCAAAAAUUUAAGAAAUUAAGGAUAAAAAAUACAAUUACGCCUAAAAAUUAUCAUUUUGUCUACCCCAAUGUUUUUUUUAUUUCAGCUUAAUUUAAGAAAUUAAGGAUAAAAAAUACAAUUACGCUUCAAAGAUAUUUACAAUCUUUCUAGUUAACGUUUUACAAAGAGUACUGUGUUUAAUUCAUGGUGGGAAUAAUGAAAAUUGAUUUUGAUUUGAUUUAAACACGAUUUUAUCAAAAUAUAAAUGCUUGGUUAUUGUUAGCUAAAGUUAUUUUGCUUUAUAAGAAGUGAUAAAAAGUAACUUUUAUGUUGAGUUAAAGAAGCAAUCUCGCUUUCAAGAUAAAAGCAUACAAACCCUUGUCGAUUUAAAAUAAAAUUUAAUAUUAUUUUCUUAUUUAUUUUGGUCAAAUAAUUUUUAAAAUUUAUUUAUCUGUUCCACAAUUAGCCUAUGAAACCGUUUUGUCUACGCAUAAUUAGACUUCUAAUAAACCCAAACAUAUUUUCAAAGACCAAAUCUGUAAAAGUAAGAAAAAAAUCAAUUAUUUCCUUAGAUAAAAAUUGAGAACAACUUGGCUAGUUUAAUCAAAUUUCAUUUCCCCACAUUUUGACAAAGUCAUAAGCUAGCUAGCUAAACGAACUACGACUUUUCUCACUGUGUACGUUUUCCAUGCCAAGUCUUCGGAAUCUUGGGCUCUGCAAGUUGAUGGUCAACUAGGCAGUUUUGCCAUUGGGUAAGUGGACCUAUUUAUAAAGGAUGGUCAAUUGAGCAAUUAAUUGAUUAACAUAUGUACCUAACAUAUGUCUAAGAUGCUUAUGUCUUUAACCAAGUACUAGUAGUUUAGAAUUUAAAUUUUAAUUAAUUAUUAGGUAUAAAAUAAAUUAUAUUAAAAAAAAACCUAUUUUACAUGUGUUCAAGAUUUCUAACGAAAAUUUAUUUUUAUUUUCAAUGAAAACAAUUUUAUAAUUAUAAAAAAUAAAACAUACGUGACCAAACACACAAUGUGUGUACAUAACAUAUGCUCUAUAAAUUAGCCUUUACUCCAAAAGACUAUCUCAUACCACAACACAUGUUUCCAAUGGCAAAUAAGUUCUCAGUUAUCAGCCCUUCCUAUUGUGUUCCUAACUCUCUUAACCUACAAAUUAACACAGAGAAAGGUGUUACUUACAACGUAAAGGGUAACCGUGUAUUUUACAUAAAAGAUACUUUGUUCACAUUUCACGGUCGUCGCGUGUUAUGUGAUGAUAAAGGAAGUCCCAUCGUCACUCUAUACAAGAAGGUUUGUUACUGAUCGAGGAGGCAUCUUAUACUCAUUUUUUUUUGAAUUUUUUUUCUAUUAAUUAAAUUAACUAAAUUGGUAUUAUAUAUUCUUAAUUUUUGUUUUUUAUCAGCAAAUAUUAAUUAUUAAUUUUAUUAGUUUUUUUUAGUAAAAAAAAAAUUGAAUCUAUAACCUCUCUUUUUCCUUCUUCCUUUAUCUAUCAAAUCAAUCUUAUAAUUAUUUGGUAUUCUUAAUUUUUGUUUAUAUGUAGAAUGUGACAUUGCACGGGCAAUGCAAAGUUUUCAGGGGUAAUAGCAAUGGUCCCUCUGAGUUGCUCUUUUCGGUGAAGAGAUCGUCAAUAAUCCCGAGUGGGAAGAUGAUUAGAUUAGAUGUCUUCCUUGAAAACAAGAGAAAAGGAAGCAUGUGUGAUUUUAGAGUCAUCGUUCGUGGAAGUAAAAAUUCAUGCACUAUUUAUGCCGGUGAAUCUCCAACUAUUGUUGCCAAGGUGUGUAUUGCAUGUGUUCUGGGCAUGUUUUUAUAUACACAUUAGUUUAAUUACCUAUCUAUUAUGGGUUUGGAUAAUUGCUGAUAUAAAGUGAUGUGUAAUUUAUAUUUAAAUAUUUUUAUGAUAAAAUUAAGUUAAGAGUAAAAUUUAGUAUAAUUUUUUAUUCUAGUUAGAAUUGCUUAACUCAGAAUCAAUUUUAGAUCCAAAAUCGAUUAUGAAUCUUUUUUAACAUAAAAUCAAACAUAUAAUUUUUGUUCUAAAAUCAAUUAUGAACUUGAAAAUAAUUUUUUUUUUUUGCUUUUAACUCAUAAUCAAUUCUAACCUGAAACAAAGCACACAUACUUUUUUCUUGAUAAUUAUCGGAAACCUUGAGCACACACAAAAUGAACAUUUCCCCUUUUAAUACGAUUUAUAACCUAAGGACAAAUUAUAAUUCGAACCCUAAACCACUUUUAUUGUGCCAAACUCUUAUUGAUCCAAACAAAUAAUUAAUACAACUGAAUGGAUAUAAUGACUACAUUUUAUCGCCCUCUUUCAUGUAGAUGGAGAAUAAUGGAGGCUUCAAAGUCUUGGUCUAUCCCAACGUGGACUACGCAUUCAUAGUGACACUACUUAUGAUUAUUGAUGACAUCAAAGAUUAUGAUGUGUUGGUAAAUGCGACGGUGAGUGGUGUCCUAACUGUGGCGACGGGGGGUAUCUUACCUAUUCUGACAUUGUUUGAGGGAGAAAAUUUAGAAGAAGAAACCUUAGAUGGAGAAAACUUAGAAGACGAAUACUUACAAGAAGGAGAAAACAACUCAGGUGGAGAAAACUUAGAUGGAGAAAACAACCCAGAAGGAGAAAAUUUAGAUGGAGAAAACUUAGAAGUAGAAAACAACUUCGAAGCUGAAACUUAGACGCAGCUUCGUAAGUGAGUGCUUGUGGUAUUGUUCUCUAAUUGGCAUUAAUGUUUAUGUAGUUUCAUGUCAAUAAUAAUCUGCAUAAUAAAGGUUUUCAUUAAAUGUCAAUGCAGAUUAGCCAGCUGGUUAAAUUCUUAUUAUGUCGUCGAAGUUUUAUUGUUGUAUAUGAAACAAAUUAAAAUUAAAUCUUGGGCACGAUUUUGGUUAGAACAGGUUGUAUCUUUUCAUUUUAGUGCAUGAAUAAAAUUGAGAAGAUAUUGUAAAUAAAAAAAGAUGUAAUAUUUUUCGUAGUUUUUUUAUAAAAAAAAUUGAGUAAUGAUAUUGGAACACUAUUAUUUUGAAUAUUUAUCAACACUUGUCAUUUUUUUUAUCUUUUUCUUUCUACCACGUCAAAUCACUAAUGCGUAUAAUAUGAAUGGACAAAAACAAAUAUAUCUUACAUAAUAUAGUAUCGAAGAUUAAGUGUCCGGAUAUCGAAUGCACGUGACUAAUUGUGUUCUUAAAAUAAUAUAUUUUAUUUUGCAACUAAGUAAUUGAGGAAAGAAAUUAAAUUAAGAUGGAUUGAUGAUCAAUUAUCUAAUGCAAGAUCAAAUCUAAACGAGUAAGAUAGUAUCGAGUAAGAUAGUAUGAAAGAGAAGAUGAUUUCAGGCAUACCAAUUCCACCAAUCCUAAUUCUAACAAGAUUCUUAGGAUUGUUAAUUGUCGAUUUUCUAAAGUCAAUUAUUAGUCAUUGAUUGUGGUCAAUUAUUAAUCAAUUUCCUAAUUAACCUACUAGAGGUUAUCCAACCAGUUUGGCAUGCAGUUUGAUAUAAAACACUUUUUUCCUAAUUCUACCAAUUACAUGUAAAUGAUCACUGUUAAGCAAUCAUUUAUGUAUUAGUAAGUCCAUUUCCACCAACCAAUUUGGUCAUGUAGUUUGGUAUAAAACACUUUCUUCCUAAUUCUACCAUUAAAUGCAAAUGAUUACUAUUAUGCAAUCAAUUAUGUAUUAGAACAUCCAUUUCCAAAAUAGAAAUUAAAAGUAAAGAAGAUAAUCAAUUAACUAAAUGACAUCGAGAAUUUCAUUAAAAUUAAGAAAGGAGUUCAAACUAGGUUACAUCAUAAUAAUCGAACUAGGGAGACUAGUUGCUCAUUGUACACACUAUUACAAAAAAAAAAAUUUUAACGUGUCUUACUUGGCACCUUGCUUGCAUGAGUAAGUACAAGUGUACAAUCUGUUUUAAAUUAUGUGUGUAUUGGUUUGUUCUAAUGGAUUGGUUUGUUUGAGAAAUAGAUCAAAACAACUAGAAAGAUCAUGCAUCAAAGAUAGAAAAUGGUGGUGAGUCUAGGAGGAUUUCUAGGUCUUUUAUACAAUGAUGUCAAUGUGACAUGUGAGCAUUUUCAUGGGAGAAAGAUAGAGAGAAAAAGAGAGAGGUAGGGGUGACAUGGAUGAAGUUACCAUUACCAAACAAUUUAAUAUCAUUUUAUUCCUCAAAUUAGUCACUUUAGUUCUUGAAAAAAAAAAGUGUUAUGGUUACUAUAAAUUAUAAAAAAACACCCCUAAAAUCUUCAUUUUUGACUCUUAUUAUGUAGAUAAUGAACAUCAUCUUAUUUUACUAACGAAGUUUGUAGAUGGCUAAAAGUAGGGAUUAACUUGGAUAACAUAAUUCAAUGUCAAAGAUUUAUUUUUCAUGUAUCUAAUUUUAGGAACUAAUAUUUUUUUAUUGGUAAGAAUUGAGCAUGGUAUUAAAAAAUUUACAAUACUCACACAUCUUACUCAACCAAUUAAGUUAGACCCCUUAAUAUUUUAGGAACUAUACCCCCACAAUUUUAGAGACUAAAAUGAUGAUUUGAUCCUUUUUAUUUUUUGUCGAAGAUGAAGAAAAAAGGAAGAAAAAAAGAUUUAGAUUUUUUAAAAAAUAUCUUUAUAUCUAUUCAUAACUUUUAAUCUUAAAUAAGAAUAUGAUGCGUUCUUUGUUAGUAAGAAGCAACAAAGGAAUAAGAAUAACAAAAAAGCACAUGAUAGGAAAUGAGAGCAACCAAGUCAGAGAAUAUCCUCUAGACUCCAAAUUUCAUUCAAAUCCCUCGUACCCCUUACAAUGACCGCCUUCCUUACAUAUAACUGAAUUCCCCUCUCCAUUGAUUUUCUCCUCUAACAAACUUAUUCCCCCUCUCACAAAAGGCUACUGCUAAAUAGACAAAUUUGCCCUCUUGGGCCUGAUGGCAUAUACUUGAUCAAAUCUACUCUUGGACUUUAAGUAUUUUGAGUUGCAAAAUAAUUUUAUAGGAUUUAAGUAUUUUGAGUUGUAAAAUAAUUUUAUAUUUUAUGAAUACUGUGAGUUAUUAAAUAAGUUAUGAGAUUAUAUUUUAUUAUGAAUGAGUUACUUAGGGGGUGUUUGGUUUGGUUAUUUUCUGUUUUCAUUUUCACCGAAAACAGAAAACGGUGAUGAAAAUGUGUUUGGUUGGAUUUCUGAAAACAUUUUCAGUGAAAAUGAAAACAGGAAACAGCCAGAAAAUGAAAACAAUAAAUUUUCGUUUUCAGUGUUUUCAGUUGAGAACAGAAACCUCAUUUCAGGUAAAAUAAAAUUGUGAUGACAAUGAAUGUAUUUUUAAACAAAUCUAAAAAUACAAAAAGACAAAAAGUCAAUAUAUCAUAAAUUUUCAGUAUUUUUAUUUCAUGAAAACAGAAAAUAAGAAGUCAAACCAAACAUAUUUUCAGAAUUCUAAUCUUUUGAAAAUGAAAACAAUUUUCAGAAAAUGAAAACAGAAAAUGAAAAUGCAAACCAAACACACCCUUAAAUUGCUUAAAGGUUUAUGACUUAUCUUUUUUUGUUUAUCCGAUAAUACAAUUUUUAAGUUUGAGGAUUUUAUUUUAUGGGAUUAUAUUUUAUUGUGAGUAUAUGUAUAAUAUUGAUUUUAAAAAAAUGUCCCUUACUAAUUUUUAAGUUUGAGGAUUUUUUUUUCAAAACUUAAAGAUGUGUUAAUUUUUUAACGGUCCAAUUCUAUAACCAACCCAAUCCAAUCUUAUAUAUAAAAGUUAGAUUAGAUUAGAUUGAGUUGUAAAAAAAAGGUAAGCUCAAUCUAACCCAAUCCAAUUAAAUUUAAUUAGAUUAGGUUGAAAAGGAAAUAAAACUUAACUCAAUCCAGCUCCUAAUCUAAAAUAUACAUACUAUGCCAACCUUCUUGGUAUUGGAUAGAAAUUUCACUAUUAAUUAAUAAUGUUGUAUUGUCUGCCAUAUUUUAGGUUCUAUAUUUGGUUUAAAGGUGGGAGGAAAAUAAUUUUAAUGAAAGAGGGAGAAGAAAAGAGAGGUGAUUACACGUUUUGUUUGGUUUAGAGAAGAAGAGAGAUUUUAAUAGAAUGAGAGAAAAUAAUCAUUUUCUUGUUUGGUUCAUAACUAGAGAAGGAAUUUUGAAAAUUAAUUUCCUUGCAUGUUUAUAUAAUUUUAUUUUCCAAAACAUAAGUAGAGAUAUUUUAGUUAAUACUCAUCAAAUAUGUUUUAAAUGUUUUUAUUUUUUUUCUCCCAAAAAUUAAACCAAAUUAUAAAAUUUUAUAAAAAUAUAUCCCUACAUCCCUCUUCCACCAUUUUCUUUUAACCAAACACUAUAUAUGUUAGAGUGAAUUAAUUAGAAAGAGAAAAAAAAAAACAAAAAGAAAGAAAGUAAUAAAUAUGAUAUAUAAUGUGACUAACAAGUUGAUCCGGUCAACGGUAAAAACAACUCAAAUUUAUUAAUAUAUUUUAAAAUAAUCUCAUUUUGGUAAUUAGUUUAUAAUUUCCCUUCUCAUCUUUCUCUCUUUUUUUUCCUACUUUGAAAGUAAUAAAUGUAAUACACAUUAAAUAAACACAUUCUAUUUGGAUAAUUAAAAAAAGUACAUAUCUAAAAUAUACUAUGCCAACCUUCAUGGUUUGGAUAAGAUUAUUUUUCCAAAAUCAAAUUCAGUUUCAGUCAAAACAAAAAAUAAUUAUUUCUACUUUUUCAUCAUAAUUUUGAGAACUUAAAUUGAUUCCAGUAGUUAUCCAAACACACCAAUAUAGGGUGGAUUCAAAAUGAAAGAAUAGAAGAAAAUAAAAGAUAGAAAAAGAAUAGUGUAAAUAUGAUAAAUGAUGUAACUAGUGAAUUGAUCAGGUCAAUGGUAAAAAGCAUCUAAAUCUCAUAAUAUAUCACAUUUUAGUCAUUAGUUUCUUAGAGUGUCCUGUUUUGGUGAACCAUUCCUUAGUAAAAUUACUCUUACCUUAAAGGACUUGCAUGUGUGUGUGUAUAUAUAUAUAUAUAUAUAUUAACUUUUGCAAAACUUUUGUUUGCGGCUAGUAAGAUCAGAGCCCUAUAAAAAUGUAGCCAAUAACCCAUAUUCCCACAUAUGUUCUAAAUCCACUAUUCAUCCAAAUGAAGAAUAUGUUUCUCAUCCUUUUCUUUUCUGCUCUUCUAAUUUCAUCCACUUCUAAUGCUUCUAACGUCAAUGAUUUCUGCGUAGCAGACCUCAAGGGUACAAAUAGCCCUUCUGGCUCUAACUGCAAGCCCGCUGAUACAGUAACAGCAAAUGACUUUGUCUUCACUUUUCAACCUGCAAACACAUCUAACCCUAUCAAAACUGGAAUCAGCACUGCAUUUCUUAAAGACUUUCCUGCUCUCAAUGGUCUUGACAUCUCUGCAGUACGUGUAGUUAUCGAUAAAGAUGGAUUUAUUCCAUUGCAUUCACAUCCUCAUGCCACUGAACUAAUAAUCGUGGUGGAAGGUCAAAUCACUGCUGGAUUCAUGGCAGCUACCAAAGCUUAUGUGACCAAGACACUGAAACCGGGAGAUCUUAUGGUUAUCCCACCAGGACAAUUGCAUUUUCUAGCAAAUUAUGAUCAAAGAAGAGCCACUGUUUUUGCUGCUUUUAGUAGCUCAAACCCUACUGUCCAUUCUUUUAAUAAUAUAUUUGCCAACAAUGUACCCUCUAAUGUACUUGCCCAAACUACCUUCCUUGAUGUUGCCCAAGUGAAGAAGCUUAAGGCUCGUUUCGGUGGCAGAAACUAGGAUAUUAUUGCUUGCUUAUUGAUUAAUUAGUUAGUUAAUGUGUUUGUUCCAAUGAUCAUAAACAAUAAACACUGAUUAUAUUCUUUUGUGUCUGAUAAGAUUAUAUAUACUCUUUCGAUCCCUUCAUCACUUAUAUACUAGAUUUUGAGUUCUCCCUUGAUUUUGUGCAUGUUCAGCUUUCAGGUGAUGCUUCAUGAACUUUGUAAUCUCGAUUAGUUGUUCUGGCUUUUAGCUGCCUUUAUGACAACAACAACAAAAAUGUUUAUGUAGACUUAAACUUGUGUUUGGAACGAGACCAAGUUGAUUUUCUUUAUGCCGAAAAGUUUUUGACGAGUGUACUACACAAGAUAAAGAUAAAAAAAUUAAAAUGGAGAAUUUUUUUUAAGAGUCGGUCUAUUCUAAUCCACAAUAUGAUAUCUGGAUGAUUUUCUUAAUUACAAAUAAUUAGGUAUGUUGAUAAACUACUCAAUAAACACCUUAGAAGAAUAAAAUAGAAUAACAAAUAAAAUAAAUAUUCAGUUAACUGCAAAACUCUUUGUUCUCCCUACAAGAAUGUUCAGUUGCCAUUCUUGUCAUCGACGAUGACAACCUCCGCAAGUAGGUCUUCGAUUCAACCCGCACAGUUCAGAGUCGUACAUGUAGAAGGUGCAUUAAAAUGUGGCAACUUGGACGGGGAACUUCUAUAUAAAAAAAAAAGGCUUGGACGGAGAGACGAGAAAAUGUUAGCGGUAGUUGGAGAGAGAAAGACAACAUUUUUGUGAAGAAAAAAUUGUGUCUUUUUCUUCUAUUACUGGGUUUUUUUUUUUUGCUGUGAAAGAACAAUCAAAGUAUUCAUUUGUCAACACUUCAGCACAUGUGUGUGAUUUGUCAUAUCAUGAUCACUUCAAUGUAUUUUAUUAAAUAAUAAAGACAAUUAGAUAAACAAACUCUUUAGUAUCUGAAAAUACUCAUUUAAUUGAUCCCAACACCCCAAUUAUUUGAUGAUAUUUAUGGUCAUAUAUCGAUUAUAUUUGCCCUUUUCGGCUUGAACUGGUUGAGAAUAUUUGAAUUUGAAUCCGUCCAUAACCAAUUACCCAUAAGCCUAAUUUACUUAUUCUGUAUGUAUGAAAAACAUGACCAUUAUCAACCAGACGAAGCUUACAAAUUUUUACCCCUUCAUGACACUGCGGUGUGUCAAAAGGAUUUGUAUUUGGACAAGAAAAUGGUACAAUAAUUUCCACACUAAAGGAAGAGAAGUGAAGGUAUUAAAAAAAAAGUAUGAGGUAAAAUAUCAAUAUGUUGAAAAGACAGAAAAACACAUAAUAUUAUAAAAUAUAAAAUUAAAUAUGUUCUUGGUAUUUACUAAUGUUUGUUUUUGUUCCUUAAAAAAUAUUUAUCAUUCAUGAAAAUGUGUUGCUCGCAAUUCUUAUAUAUUUUUCAUAUAUGAGUAUUUAUUUGUUAAAAACACAUUUCUAGAGCAAAUAAACAAACAAAAAAUGGCAUUUUACAUAUACUAAAAGUAAAUGUUCUGUUUACAUAAUCAUAGAUAUCUUCCUAAUAUGAAUACUUCUAUCACCUUAUGACCUUAAAAUUAUAAAUAAAAAAAAUAUUGUAUGAGUAAUUGUUGUAAUUUGUUCUAACAGUAAUGUAGUACUAUCAGUUAAGCUUAAUUUCAACACUCUACCCGACACAUGUUUAAUUUUACCUUUCUGUUUUGUUUUGUUUCCACUUAUUAGUGUAUGUAUUUAUUGUUACUACUAGUAGCCAAAUUCUCCGAAACAGGGCCAAACAAUGUGAGCAGAGAAACAUUACUACAGUAAUCUUUAUAGUUAGCAAACAUAUUCAUAACAAAUUACAUCUAAAAAAGAAUUAUUCCUUAGCGAAGUUUCUUUUAACUUGAUAGUUAGCAAACAUAUUUAUAGCUAAUGUAUCAAAAAUUCUUGUCCAUUCCUCGGUAGCUUGAAUAGUUGUGAUAUCAUCUAUGUCAAAUACUAAAUUUUCUACUGCACCCAUUCCCUUCCGUGUUAAUUCCUAUGGUUUUUAUGUACAAUAAUAUGUUACUUUUGCCUUUGUACAUUACAGAAUAAGCAAAACAGUGACAGCGUGACUAUUAAUUGCAAGUUGCAAUAUUCUUUUCUAUUUUCCUUUUGUUUUACACAUGAACAAUCCUGCAAAAUAAUAAGGUUAUUGCUGAGAUGACCUAAUCAUGCUCUAUUUUGGAAAUGAUGCGUUCUGGUAUUAAAAUAUGCUUUCUAUGAUUUUUAUUUUAUUUUUUUGUUCCUGGUUGCUUUAACCUAGUGUUUUGCCCCAUAGGUUAUCAUCAAUCACCAGGCUCUUCCUUGCCUUCUAAUCUAUUGACCAAUAAUUAUUAAAAAAGCAUCAAGAAGGAAGCUUGUUGGACCAUAUCAAACAUCACAACCGGUAAUAAACAGCAGAUUCAGGUAUAGUUACUUGUUCAUCAGUCCCUUCCCCUUUUGCAUAAUUGCAUGCACGUACAGAUUAUCAGAUGCAAGCCUGGACUUUUGAGUCUAUAGAUUAUUACAUUUUAACGAUGGAAAAAUGAAUUCAAAAGUCAAACUUAAUCAGAUUUUGCCAAAGGAGAAGAUAGAAGAAAAAUAAUCACGAUAGUAAUCAACCUGAGGUGGAAUGUGGAUUUCAGAAUAUGGAUUUUAUGAUUAUUGUAUCGUUAUGAAUCAUCAAACUAGUAAGGACCAAAAGUGGAAUUGUUGGUUGGUUAAAAGUCUUUAUUGGCAUUACUAUGUUAACACUUGACAUUAUUGGAGAAUAGAGACAAUAUUCUUUAACCAUUAGUAUUAGAGGCAUGAGGUAUUUUAGAUUCUUCAUCUUAAUGCCUAAGAUUAAAAUGGGACCUUGUAUACAAGGUUUGAGCCUGAAGCAUUCAUGUGAUCACUUACUAAUGCAGUUCUAAUUACUGAGAUUUCUCUUGUACUAUUAAAAACUCCUAUUGUGAUUUGUGCUAUAUCUUUGUUUCUUUCUCCUUUAUUCUAGAACUUAAAGUUAAUUAUUUUGCUGGCACAGGCAUUUGGUUGAUUGACACCAUAGAGGUCUUUAUCUGGGAGUUAAUGCAGAAUUCCAGAUCAUGUAUUUGCAUUUUUAAGAGCAAAUGCAUUUUUAUUCUUUCACAACGUAAAAGUAGCUUGUUUUAGGCACGUUUUAGCUCUACCGCACACUGUUUAAUUCCUUGAUCUGCAUGUUACUUGACUUAAAUACAAUUUGAGACUUACGGAUAAUGCAAUGGUACAACCCCUUUAUAUUUUCUGAUGACAUAAAACUGUACAAUUACUUGAAUUACAGUUGCUAAUUUUUCAAUCUUCAAUCAUUAUAGAAGCUUAAGGAACAAUCACAAGCUUCUUCUGUUCCUUUUCACAAACUUCUAAAAGUCAUAUAAACUCUCUCAUUCUUUAUUAUUCUCUAAAACUUCAAGGUUUUAUGGGCUUGGAUCUUUUUUAGAUAUUUUUUUAGAGAAAUUUAUCAGAGGGAACAAAUAACAAAUGCCAUUCAGCCUCCAAUGAAUUAAACACGGUGAAGAAUAAACACAAAGUGAAGAAACUAAAAUUCUAGAAGAAUAAACACAAGCACCAAAUUUGCAAAAAUGCUCACAGUACAAAUUAAUGAAAUCAAACAAUGAAUAUCCACAGUACAAAAUCAAUGAAAUCAAACAUUUAAAUAAAAAAUAAAUCAAAAAUUAACGAAAAAAAAAUGAAUACACUGUGGCACAGCGAGAGUGUGGAUUGAAAUCGCAAGGAAAACUUACUUGUGAGCGAACGUUAUGUGUGGUGCGUGAGAGUGACUGAGAGGGAGAGAGAGCUACGGAGAGAACUAGUGUACUAAGAGGGAGAGAAAGCGCUAGCGUCGUGUGCGUGAAAGUGACUGAAUUUGAUUUUGAAAAAAUAAUCUUAUCCAAACACCUUUUAUACGUUACCAUGAAGGUUGGCAUAGUAUAUUUUAGAUAUGUCCUUUUUUUAAUUAUCCAAAUAGAAUGUGUUUAUUUAAUGUGUAUUACAUUUAUUACUUUCAAAGUAGGAAAAAAAAGAGAGAGAAAGAUGAGAAGGGAAGUUUGAAUAUUUUUAUCCAUUAGAGAAAUGCUUACCCGGAAGAGAAUAUAAAUUUAAAGGUAAGUAAUUGUAUUAAAGGCUGGUUGACCAAAGUAGGGGUACUAUUAUAAACUAAUUAUCAAAAUGAGAUUAUUUUAAAAUAUAUUAAUAAAUUUGAGUUGUUUUUACCGUUGACCGGGUCAACUUAUCAGUCACAUUAUAUAUCAUAUUUAUUACUUUUUUCUUUUUGUUUUUUUUUUCUCUUUCUAAUUAAUUUACUCUAACAUAUAUAGUGUUUGGUUGAAAGAAAAUGGUGGAAGAGGGAUGUAGGGAUAUAUUUUUUUAUAAAAUUUUAUAAUUUGGUUUAAUUUUUGGGAGAAAAAAAACAUUUAAAAUAUAUUUGAUGAGUAUUAACUAAAAUAUCUCUACUUAUGUUUUGGAAAAUAAAAUUAUAUAAACAUGCAAGGAAAUAUCUCUACUUAUGUUUGAUGGUUUGUUCGGUUGAUCUUUACAGUAUUAGAGACGGGUUAUUGAGACGAAAUGUCCUAUGUCUAAUAAAUGUUAACUGAUGAUAUUUAUCUUGAUUACUAGUUUCUAAAAGUGUCCUAAUUAAUUUGAUCAAUCAUUUUUUUUAUAAAAUUACUCUUUUCUCAUUCUUUUCUUUUCCGCUCUUCUUUCAUCCACUUCCUAUGCUUCCAAUGUGAAUGAUUUCUGUGUGGCAGACCUUAAAGGUCCAGAUAGCCUUUCUGGCUAUCCUUGCUUGCCACCUACAACACUUACAGAUGAUAACUUUGUGUUCAAUCUUCAACCUGCAAACACCUCACAGUUCCCUACUAUCAAAGCUGGAAUUAGCACUGCAUUUGUUAAUGAAUUCCCUGCCCUCAAUGGUCUUGACAUCUCUGUAGCGCAUGUAGCUUUCGAAAAAGAUGGGUUUUUUCCAAUGCAUUCUCAUCCUGAUGCCACUGAACUAAUCAUCUUGGUGGAAGGUGAAAUCACUGCUGGAUUCGUCACCGGUAUGAAUUCGAUUGCUUAUCUGAAGACGCUGAAACCCGGAGAUCUUAUGGUUAUUCCACCAGGACAUUUGCAUUUUGUAGCAAAUUCUGGUAAUGAGAAAGCCACUGGUUUUGCCACUUUCAGUAGCUCAAACCCUACUAUCCAUUCAUUCAACAAUAUAUUUGCCAACAAUAUACCUUCUGACAUACUUGCACAAGCUACAUUUCUUGAUGUUGCCCAAGUCAAGAAUCUUAAGGCUCGUUUUGGUGGCAGCAACUAGUAUGAUUAAUUGCUAGCUUAUAAUUAAUUAUGUGCUGGCUCCAAUGGUUUUUCUUUUUUAUAAGAUGUGUUUGCUCCAAUAAUCAUCAACAAUAAAGUUAUUUACUUGUAUGUUUCCCUUUUUCAUUUUUUGUCCAAUCUCAAAUCUUAAUAUACUUGUUGGCUCCCUGACUGCGAACGAAAUAACUACAAGGAAAUAACCCCGGAUAGGUGAAGAAAGAAAGAUCGACAAGCAUUCGAAUUUUUCAUAAUAAAAGCACACUUUAUUUUAAUUUAGUUUUUGUUGAUUUAUUUUACUUGCAUUUUUUUUAUCAAUGGAAAGAAUAAAAAAGAAGUAGGCAGAAGAAAACUAAUGGCAGCGGACAUUGGUCACAACUCACAAGUCUGAAAACUGGGCGAUGAUUGGCCACCUUACUUUGCUAACUAGUCGGCUAUCUUUUUCCUUCACUAAAAGUGUGAGAGAAUUGAAUAUUUCAUUGUUGUUGCUUAAAGGAAUGAAUCUUUGUAAUGAGAGUUGCGUAUAUGGAUGACAUGAAUGUACUCCAAGAUUGAUAAGCUCCAAAGGGACUUUUGAAUCCAUUUCACAUAUAAUAUGAUGCGCACCCAGGGAAUGCCAAGAACCAACGCAAAUAGUUCUGUAUGAAGGGAUGUAAUAACCCCACAUGAUCAAUAGAAACGUGUUACUCAUUCACCAGUUGUGUUCUUCCUAAUUACUCCUCCGACGCCUACUUUGCCCAGAUUCCCAAGAGGAGAACCAUCAGUGUUCAACUUCAAGAAAUUUGGUGGUGGCAGACUCCGUGAGAUAUAGAUAACUGAGUUGUCCCUAUUGUUGGAACACACACUGUUCCUCACUUAAUUGCAAGAGAUGCAAUUCACUCCCUCACACAUUCCCUCGUGUAUCACUCACUGUUUUCUAAGCAUAGAAUUGCACACACACUAGGAAUAGCACUAGAGACUGAAAAUGAUAGAAUGAAAACAACACUUUAUUAAGAUGUAUGAUUGCCCUUUUAUACAAGCAAAACAAAGUAACAACCCUUCACUCUUAGGUUAGCACUUAUAACAGAAUUUUAAAAUUCUGCUACUCUCUCUUAUAUACAAAGCCAAAACAGAAUUAAACUCUCACACCCUCCCUUAAUUCUGAUCUCCUAAGUCCAUCAAGCCAAUUCUGUCCCUUAACAUUUUAAACCUCUCCCCUUUGAGAGGUUUGGUUAAAAUAUCAGCAAGUUGAUCAAAUGUGCAGCAGUACUCCACUUUUAAUUUCUCUUUGUUCACUUGAUCCCUAAGAUAGUGAAAUUAAACCUUGUUUCUAUGUGUUUGCUUCUACCAUGAGAGGUUGGAUUCUUUGAUAGGCUUAUAGCUGACUUAUUAUCCACAAAAAGCUUCACUCCAUCACUCUCCUUGAUUUUUAAUUCCUGUAGUAAUGUGUCCAACCAGACAGCUUGACAAGCACUCAUUGCAACUGCAACAUACUCAGCUUCACAUGUUGAUAGAGCCACUAUGGAUUGCUUCUUAGAACACCUCGAUAUUGGUGCUGCACCAUACAUGAAUAUGUAACCUGUAGUACUCUUUCUGUCAUCUCUGUCUCCUCCCCAAUCUGCAUCAGUAUAUCCCAUCAAUUCCUCUGAGUUGCUAUUGUCUUUAUUUGGAAAUAAAAUUCCAGCAUUGAUGCCCCCUUUUAUGAACCUUAGAAUCCUCUUGGCAGCUAAGAGAUGAGGAAUUCUGGGUCCUUUCGUAUAUCUACUUACCAGUCCAACAGCAAAUUCCAAAUCAGGUCUUGAAUGACACAAGUACAUGAGAGAACCAACAAUCUGUUUGAACUCAAUUGCAUCGACUUUGUCUUCCUUGCCCUCCUUUUCAAGUACAAGACCUGCCUCUGUUGGUGUUGCUGCUGAAUUACAUUCAACCAUGUUGAAUCUCUUCAAUAUUUCUGUUGCAUACUUGCUCUGGAGCAUCAAAAUACCUCUCUCAGUCUUCUUGAAUUCAAGUCCAAGGAAAUAGGAUAGAACCCCCAUAUCAGUCAUUUCAAACUCACUCAUCAAUUCCCUUUUUAGUUCUGCUAUUUCACUUUCAUUACCACCAGUGAUCAACAAAUCAUCCACAUAGAGGCAUAUAAUAAUGAUAUUACCUACUGACUUGGAUCUUACAUAGACUCCAAACUCACAGCUACACUUAUCAAAGCCAAUUUUCAUCAUAAAACUGUCAAUUUUAUUGUUCCAAGCUCUUGGGGCUUGCUUAAGUCCAUAAAGAGCUUUUCUCGACCUGAGAACCUUUGACUCUUGGCCAGCUAUAGAGAAUCCAAGUGGCUGAGUAACAUAGACCUCCUCAUCAAGAGGACCAUUUAAGAAAGCACACUUCACAUCUAGUUGGUGCACUGUCCAAUUCUUUAGGCUAGCAAUUGCCACUACUGUUCUAAUAGUCUCAAUUCUAGCAACUGGUGCAAACACCUCUCUGUAGUCAAUCCCAACUUUCUGCAAAAAUCCUCUAGCCACAAGUCUAGCUUUAUACUUGACCACCUUGCCUUCUGGAUUUGUCUUAAUCUUAUAGAUCCACUUCAUAUCAAUGGGCUUCUUUGAUUUUGGUUGAGAUACCAGCUCCCACACUUGAUUUUUCUCAAUAGAUUUAAGCUUUUCUAUCAUAGCUUCAACCCACCUCUGAUCAGUCAUAGCAUCUUCAAAGUUUAUUGGUUCUGCUUCAGAAAACAGAGCAAAAUGUACAAGAUUCCCAUCUGCACUUACAUCAGCAUCAAACAACAUCUCAAAACCUUGAAAUCUAGCUGGUUUGGGUGCAUUUCUCUGGGGUCUCACUUCUCUUUGAGUGGUAUUACCAUUCCCUUCACUUGUUUCUUCCUCUUCUGACCUUAUCAUUAUUGAAGGUCCUUUCAUUUCAGUAUUCUGCUCCCAGUUCCAGCUUCUAGAUUCAUCAAAUACCACAUCCCUACUAAUUAUUAUCUGCUUACUCUUCGGAUCAAACAUCUUAUAGCCUCCAGUUGAGUGAUAUCCGAGUAAGAUCAUUUGUUCACCUUUAUCAUCUAGCUUCCUUCUUAACUGAUCUGGGAUAUGCCUAAAACAAAGUGAUCCAAAGAUUCUGAAAUGGCUCACAUUUGGUUUAGCACCACUCCAAGCUUCUUAAGGUGUUAUUCCUUCCAAUCUCUUUGAAGGGCUCCUAUUCAAGAUGAAGACAGCUGUAGACACUGCCUCUCCCCACAAGUACUUGGGCAGACUCUUGCCUUUCAACAUGCUCCUUACCAUAUUCAUUAUGGUUCUGUUUUUUCUUUCUGCAGCUCCAUUAUGUUGAGGUGUGUAGGGAGGAGUCACUUCAUGAAUUAUGCCUUCUUGAUCACAAAAUUCUUGAAAUUCUAUAGAAACAUAUUCACCUCCACCAUCUGUUCUUAAUAUCUUGAUCAAUGAGUCACUUUGCUUUUCUGCCAUAUUUUUGAACUUCUCAAAGACUUCAAAGACAUCACUCUUCCUUCUUAUUAGGUAAACUCAUACUUUCCUAGUCAAUUCAUCAAUAAAGGAUAUGAAGUAUCCGUUUCCACCCAGAGAUUCAGUUUGCAUAGGGCCACACACAUCAGAGUAAAUCACCUCAAGUUUCUCUUUUGCCCUGAUUGGUACAUUUUGUUUGAAAGUGCUUCUUGAUUGCUUACACUGUAAAUCAGCUGUAGACACUGCCUCUCCCCACAAGAAUGUGAUAACUCAUUCCCUGUGUGUUGUUUCUUUUUGGAUCUUGUGAUGAUCUCGAACCUUGUGUUUGUGGGAACAAAUGGUUAGGUGGAUAGCUUUAGAAAACCUCGUGCUAGAGGACGCCGAGACACAAUGCUCUGAUAGGACGUGACACUGGGACAUGAGUUUAAGCAUUAAUUACAUAAAGUUCUCGACAUGUAGUUUUUAUCAUUUUUGUUUCACAUGUUGAGUCUUUAGUUCAUUCUCUGGAGUUUUGGAUGACCUUGUUUUGAGCCGGAAAUGUUUUCAUACCCCUAAUUGAUAAGUUUUUUUAAUUUGGUGACUAAUGUGAAUAUGAACCUUUUACCCACAUGAACUCCUUAUAUUUAUUGAAUAAAAUCAUUUCAUGUAAUUCUGUAUUUCCAUGUAUUUUAUUAUAUAAAUAUGUAUAUCGGGGUAGAGGGUGUUAGAGUGUGUAUGUAAUAGAUUAUGUUUGUCAUUGUACAACAAUAAUAUAUAUUUUAAAUUCUAACUUAAGGUAGUUUAUAUAUACUUUCUAAAAAAAUAUGUUGCAUGCUCAAAUUUUAAACAAGUUCAUAGUUAUGCUUCUAAAUAUGAUGAAUUUUAUUAAACAUUAAAUUUUAAGUGUACAAGUUUACAUAUUAAUUUUUUUUAAUAUAGACCGAGUCAUGUGGGUCAACUAAUGACUCAUUGGGUCACUGGGUCACUGGGUGACCUAGUACCCCGAUUGAGUCAAUGAAAAAUUCGAGUAUGAUAAUACUGCUACAGGACCAAACCCACAUUGUACCUAAUAUGGGAUUAGGGCCAUUAAUGUUAUUUUUAAAAGUGAUUUUUUUCCAACUGUCCAAAAAAUAAUUUUAAAUUAAUCGACUAGGAUUAAUUUUAGUCGACCUCAACUAGGAUUAUUUGCUACCGACCUUGACAAAGGCUAUUUUUGGACGACCUCAAUGCGGAUUUUUUCCCCACCUCGUUCAAAGCAUUUUUUAUUGACCUUCGUCAAGGCAAUUUUGGACUGACCUUGUUAGGGUUGUUUUGGUCGACUUCGAUCAGAGCUAUUUUUGGUUGAACUCAAUCAAGGUUGUUUUUGGCUGACCUCGGUCAUGACUAUUUUUGGUCAACCUCGGCCAUGACUGUUUUCAGUCUACCUUGGUAGGGGUCGUUUUUGGCUAAACUUGGCUAGGGUUAUGUUCGACCAAUAUCAGCUAGGGUUAUUUUUUACCAACUCCGACCAGGAUUGUUUUUUGUCAACCACACCCAGGGUUAUUUUCUAUUGACCUCGAUCAAGUCUAUUUUUGGUUGACCUUGGUUGAGGUUGUUUAUGGUCGACCUCAACAUGGCUCAUUUUGGUUGACCUUGGCUAAGGUUAUUUUUUGUCAACCUCGGUUAGAGUUGUUUUUGGAUGACAUUGACGAAACUCUUUUUGGAUGACCAACCUAGACUAGGGUUAUUUUUGGCCAACCUCAACUACGGUUAAUUUUGGCUAAUCUCGCCUAUGGUUAUUUUCAGGCGAUAUUGUGUACGAUUAAUUUUGGCCAACCUCGGUUAUGGUUAUUUUUGGCCAACCUUGGUUGAGGUUAUUUUCAGCCAACCUCGACUAGGGUUAAUUUUGGCCGAUCUUGGCUGAGGUUAUUUUCGGCCAACCUCAACUAGGGUUACUUUUGGUCGAUUUCAACUAACCUCUUUUAUACAAUUUUUUACAUGCUCUACUAUAUAAAAAUAAAGAAGUAUGAUAUUGAAAUAUAUAUUUGAAUUAUGAGAAUUGAAAAGAAGGUCUAAUUUUUCGGCCCAUGGGCUAGUCCUAGCCCAUAAGCCUUUGUGGGCUUUUUCGCCCUAUGGGCCAUUUAUAUAUGUGGCCCAUUUUGGCCCUAGCCCACAUGGGCCAAGGCCAAAUGGGUUAGGGUUAGCUUAUUUGACAAGUCUAGUUAUUUGAUUCCACCACAAAUAACACAACGAAAUCAUGCAAUUACCCUUUUAAGCAACAACAUUAUGAUUUCGUUGUGUUUUUAAAAAAAUAGUUUUUUUACAAGAAAUUUUUUGUUUUCGUAAAAGUAAACUUUAAUGUUUUAUAUUGUGAUUUAAUAAUCAUAUUUAUGAUGGUAUGACAAGCCAACAGUGUCCUAGCUUGAUGCAAUGUGAAUCGUUUAUUUUGUCGGUGCAAUCUUGGUUGUUGCUGAUAAUUGACUCACGAUAGAACAAUACAAUAUGAUAAUAAAUACGAUUGGUAUGAGGAUGCUCAAUGCAUUGUGUUGGAUCUUUCACUAUAUUAGGUUGAAGAUGGAGGGGAGUAGUUGCUAUUGUGUAUUAUGAUGGUGAUGUGGUACAAACUUCUGAGGAGGUAUAGUUUGAAUGUCUAAAUGGUCCUAAAUUCAUAAAAAUUAGUGAGGAAAUGUUGCUUAUUGCUUUGAGGAAAGUAGUCACAAAUGUCAUCAAAGGCAAAAGAAGCAGGCAGAAGAAGCUUAUUUGAGGUUUUUUUUUAUCGUAAACAUAUAUAUGUAGGUAAUGGUUGUGCUUAGUAUGACUGCAUGGAGCUUAAAGACACAAUGAAGUGGGGAAAGCGUUUUUCAUCUUUUCAUAAUUUAGUUCUAAAGGUCUGAUCAAGUUGUAUGCAAUGGUUAGCUAUCUCCAAAAGAAUUCUUUGCCCUGGUGAGAAACCAAGAAAACCAAGACCUACCGAAGAAAUCAUUUCUAUGAUGUGUGGAUCAAUGGUGACAACAAGCUCUAAUGAAGAUCAUAACUCUAUUUAGUCAUGUUUUAAUUGAUGAAAUUUAUGUCAGUUUUGGUUGUUGUUGUUGUUGUUGUUUGUUUUUUGAAUUAAAUUGAAAUUUCGUUCUUUAUUACAUUAAUAGGCGUGUGUCAUUUAAACAUAUAAACAAGGCAAACAAAAACUACUAAAAAUAAGUUUUUAUAAAAAACAUCAUAAGUAAAAUACAUAAUAAUACAAAAUGAUUGAAAAAAAUCAUCAAAUGUCUUCAAGUGCCCUUAUGGCCACCUCCUCUGCCACCUUUGUUGGCUUUCUUCCUCGGCUACUCCUCAGUGACCUACAUCCAGCUGCAAGACCAUCGUGUGCCAUCAGCAGAAGUUGUUGUUUGACCUGAUGACUAUUUAUGCCUUUAGGUACAACUCUCAUGUCCAUUAGUCUCUAUGUGUACGCUGACAUCAUUUGGAAUCAAUCCUACAUAAAUAAAACAAUACAAUUAGUAAUUAUUUUUUUAUUAAAAAUAAAACAAAAUGAUGAAAAUAUUGUUUGCAUUACUUGAUAGGAGUAAACAACCCCUGAUACAUAAUCUAGCAUCUGAACACCACUAGCUCGUGGCCGAGGUUGAGGAGAAAUAUGUAUUAGGACUGUGUGGUGGCUCUCCCUCCUGUGGUGAAAGCAUGUAUGGAUGUGAAUGCUCUUAAUACCAAGGCAGGUAGUAUCGAGUGCAAGCCCAUGGAGCCCCAUGUGGAACAACCUUGACCACUGCCACUGCAUGCUUAUCUCACUCGGCCCAUGUCUGACAAUAAGGCUCAUAUUCUUUAGGAUGCUCAAAUGGGUCCAAGGGAAUCCAUUGUACGUACCCAAACUAUCUCAAAACCUUCUUUGAUAGAUAUAACCACAUGUAUAUCCUAACUCCAAUGUAGGCAGGGUACGAUGUCUAGUCGUCAAAAGGUAUGAGGUCUUUGGGUGAUGCAUAUUGGGACCAGACAACAUCAGUCAUCUAUAGCCUAUCCAAUAACUCCCUAGUCCCAACAACCUUGUUAGUACCCCUCAACGGCAUGUUGCGAUGCUUGCGGUCAUGAUCCAACACCUUUUCACUACAAGGAAUGGUCGAAAAAGGCUCAAACACCCAUGCUUGUAAAACAUGAAAUAUAUUUUUAGCAUCAAGUAGUACUAAAAAAAACAUCAAUUAUGUAUACAAAAUUAAAUUGUUCUUACUAUGAGUAGAGUCAUAUAAGCUCACAUAUGUUUGUUGGUAUACUUGUAAGCAUAUGUCAAUUGGUCAUAAAGAUAAGCCAACGUAGUUGCCCCCAAGCGUACUUAUAGCAUCAAUCCAAAUCACCGAGGUACUAGAGGUAGCAGAUGUGUACACUCGUCAAGUUCUUCUCGACAAAUAUGGUAUUGUCAAGCAAAUGCAGAAAAUACACCUUGGCAACCCAAACAAAUGACUCAUUGGAAACGUAACUGUGAUAAGGCUCUCUAACAAACUCAGAGGCACCUUAUUGCUUGAUGACGUUGCAACAUCUACCUCCUGGUCCAUCAUAAUUCCAAGCUCUAACCUUACUAGACCUCUAAUCUCCUUUGUGGCGUAGGUCGUGUCUGUUUGAUCAAGAAAACAAACGAUGAUAGAAAGAUGUAAAAGGCAUGACAAAUAAUUAAGGGUAAUGGUCAUCUCUCUUAUAGAAAGGUGGAAGGAGGAGGUCACACUGUGCCAUCUCUCAAUAAAGACAUUGACUACGCCUUUAUUUGUGGACAUGUACCGCGCAUCAUACAGGCCCUUUAGCCUUGACCUAUCCACGUACCUCUUCAUCAUUGAAUUGGUGGGGUAGUGCAUAACCUUGCCACCAUGGCUGACCAGCUUCAGCUCAUCUUUGGGUUGACUGAUCCAUACAUGGCCAACUAUGUGGUCCUUAUAGGAUCGAAGCAGACUCAAAUACAUAAGACUUCCUCCAAUUGGGGAUUUGAUGAUAUGGUUAGUAGGCGAUAUUUGUGGUUGUUGUGGCUUUGGUUGUGCCUUAGGCUAUGGCUCCGGUUGUGCCUGUGCCUCCGGCUCUUGUCAAGAAGCCUUUGAAUCACAACAUGCUGACAUAGUCACGCGUUGCCUCUGAAACUCAACAUCUGAUACAAAGGCAAUAAGCUUUGUGUGAUCCAUCUAAAAAGGGUAGGAAUAUCAAUUAAACAAUAAAUUAGAUAAUUUAAAAACAAAAAAUUGAUGAAUAACACAACAAAAUCGUAUUUCUGUUAUGGUUUUAUAAAAACAACAUAUCAAAAAUACGAUUUUAUUGUGCUAUUUGAUAAAUAAUACAACAUAACCGUAUUUUAAUUGUACUUUUUUCAAAACGAAAAAAAAUAACACAAUGGAAGUGUGAUUCCGUUGGGUUCUAGGUUCAUAAUCACAAUAGGAUCGUACUUCCAUUGUGUUUUUGUUUUGUUUUGAAAAACACCACAACAUAGUUACGAUUCAGUUGUGAUUUUCAACACAGGACAUAAUGGAACUAGUAUUCCAUUGUAUUCUGGGUUGAGAAUCACAAUGAAAUUGUACUUUUGUUGUGGUGUUUUCCAAAACAAAACAAUAAAACACAACAAAAGUAGGAUUCCGUUGUGAUUCUCAACCCAGAACACAACGAAAUCACACAACUAUUGUGUAUAAAAAAGAAAAAAAAUAACUUAAUAGAGCUCCAAAAUGAGAAAUGAAUGGAGAAGAGAGAAGGGUCUUCGACGAAAAUGAGAAAAUGAAAGGGAGCGGGAAAGAAUGAAGGAAGAGAAUGAGAGGGAGUGGGAUUGAAGGGACUUGGAUGAGAGGAAGAAAAUGAGAAGGAGUGAGUGAGAUAGAGAGAGGGAGAGAAAGAGAGAUGUUUAAGAGGAAGGGGAAAGGGUGGGGGUGAGAAGAAGGGGUGGGCAGAUGCGAAAGGGAAGGGGUGGGGGUAAGGGGAAAUUUCCUUAAGGACAAUUUCAUAUUUCCAUUACCAUUUUCAAAAAUGGUAGUGCCAAUAACAGUGGGAGGUAGUGAGAAUAACAAUUCCCAAAUAAGUGGAUUAUGCAAGCUAGCCUAUGAGCCCACAGAAUACGUCGUCAAGUCCACUGGUUUCAUGGGCCAAACUCAAGUAUUGCCUAUAGUUAUGUGGGUUAAAAAAAGCAGGUUCGUUAUCCACGCGGUCCGCUGGCUUAACGGGCUGACCCACGAACUUAGGCCCAUAUACCCACCUCUAGUGAUGGCGAGAUGAGGACGACAAUGAUAAUGACUACGAUAGCAACAAAAUAGUGAUAGUAGUGAUAUUGAGUGGUAGUAGAAAUAGUGGAGUGACAGUGAUUUCCUAUUUAAACGCCCAAGGUGGCUUUCCUAGUCCAAAAUUCGUUACACUAAAAAAGUGGCUCAAUAGGCCUAGAACGGGUGGAAAAGAAAAGUAAAUUUAAAUAAUAAUUGUAUAAUAUUUUUAUAUUAAAUAAAAAGUAAAUUUAUCUUUUAAAAAAACAUCAUCCCAUUUAAUGGUACAUUGAUAUUUUUUUUUACUUUUAUAUAAAAAAUAAAAUAAAAAAACUAACAAUCCUCCCCUCAGCUUGCUUGUUUUAAAAAAUAAAAUAAAAAACAUCAUCCCAUUUAAAUGAAAUUUGUUUUUAUUUUUAAUUAUUCAAAGACGGUCAUUAUAAUAAGACCGUCUUUGUAUCAGCUUGCUUGUUUAUUAAAGGCGGUUAUUUCAAUAAUCGUUGUUGUCAACUUUUAGAAAAUUACAAUAAUGCCACCGCUAUUAUUUUUACAACGUGUGAUAUUCAACCGUGGUAAGUGUGAUGUCGUAAAAUAACAUUAUUGUAGUAGUGUUAAUAUAUUUUAACUUUAAAAAAAACUUCUGAAUUUUACUUUAUAAAUUACUGGUCAGUAAAAUACAACGAAGGCCUUAGAUCCAUGUUGAAGGAAUGACAAUCGGAGAGUGGAGGCAUAAUCUACUACUCCUACUUUGACACUUUUGCCUGCCAUCAACGACCUUAUUCAGACUCCAGCUUCUUAUGGUACCAUUUUAUACCUACAAUAACAUAUCCAAAUAAGUUCUCAGUUAUCAGCCCUUCCUAUUGUGCUCCUAAGGCUCUUAACUUACAAAUUAACACAAAGAAAGGUGUCACUUAUGACGUAAAGGGUAACCGUGUAUUUUAUAUAAAAGAUACUUUGUUCACAUUUCACGGUCGUCGUGUGUUAUGUGAUGAUAAAGGAAACCCCAUCGUCACUCUAUAUAAGAAGGUAUGUUACUGAUCUAGGAGACAUCUUAUACUCAGCGAUUUUUUUUCUAUUAAUUAAAUUAACUAAAUUGAUAUUAUAUAUUCUUAAUUUUUAUUUUUUAUCAGCAAAUAUUAAUUAUUAAUUUUGGUAGUUUUUUUAGUGAAAUAAAUUUGAAUCCAUAACCUCUCUCUUUUCUUCUUUCUUUAACUAUCAAAUCAAUCUUAUAUAAUUUAGUAUUCUUAAUUUUUGUUUAUAUGUAGAAUGUGACAUUGCACGGGCAAUGCAAAGUUUUCAGGGGUAAUACCUCUGAGUUGCUCUUUUCGGUGAAGAGAUCGUCAAUAAUCCCGAGUGGGAAUAUGCUUAGAUUAGAUGUCUUCCUUGGAAACAAGAGAAAAGGAAGCAUGUGUGAUUUUAGAGUCAUCGUUCGUGGAAGUAAAAAUUCAUGCACUAUUUAUGCCGGUGAAUCUCCAACUAUUGUUGCCAAGGUGUGUAUUGCAUGUGUUCUGGGCAUGUUUUUAUAUACACAUUAAUUUAAUUGCCUAUCUAGUAUGGGUUUGGAUAAUUAUUGAUAAAAAUUAAUUUUAAAUUUUGAAUGAAAUUAAUUUUACAGACUUGAUUAGAAUUAAAAUUGAUUUUAAAGUGAUGUGUAAUUUAUAUUUAAAUAUUUUUAUGAUAAAAUUAAGUUAGGAGUAAAAUUUAGUAUAAUUUUUUUAUUCUAGUUAGAAUUGCUUAGUUCAGAAUCAAUUUUAGACCCAAAAUUAAUUAUGAAUCUUUUUAACAUAAAAUCAAACAUAUAAUUUUUGUUCUAAAAUCAAUUAUGAACUUGAAAAUUAUUAUUGUUUUUUUCCUAUUAACUCAGAAUCAAUUCUAACAUGAAACAAAGCACACAUACUUUUAUCUUGGUAAUUGUCGUGGAUCUUGAGCACAAAAUGAGUAUUAGUCUCCUGGUACGAUUUAUUACAUGCCUAAGAACAAAUCAAGAUUUGAAUUCCAAAUCACUUUUGUUAUGCCAAACUGUUAUUGAUCCAAACACAUACUUAACACAGCUGAAUGGAUAUAAUGACUACAUUUUAUCGCCCUCUUUCAUGUAGAUGGAGAAUAAUGGAGGCUUCAAAGUCUUGGUCUAUCCCAACGUGGACUACACAUUCAUAGUGGCACUACUUAUGAUUAUUGAUGACAUCAAAGAUUAUGAUGUGUUGGUAAAUGCGUCGGUGAGUAGUAUCCUAACUGUGGCGACGGGGGGUAUCUUACCUAUUCUGACAUUGUUUGAGGGAGAAAAUUUAGAAGAAGAAACCUUAGAUGGAGAAAACUUAGAAGAAGAAUACUUACAAGAAGGAGAAAACAACUCAGGUGGAGAAAACUUAGAUGGAGAAAACAACCCAAAAGGAGAAAAUUUAGAUGGAGAAAACUUAGAAGUAGAAAACAACUUCGAAGCUGAAACUUAGACGCAGCUUCUAAGUGAGUGCUUGUGGUAUUGUUCUCUAAUUGGCAUUAAUGUUUAUGUAGUUUCAUGUCAAUAAUCUGCAUAAUAAAGGUUUUCAUUAAAUGUCAAUGCAGAUUAGUCAGCUGGUUAAAUUCUUAUUCUGUCGUCUAAGUUUUAUUGUUGUAUAUGAAACAAAUUAAAAUUAAAUUUUGGGCAUGAUUUUGGUUAGAAUAGGUUGUGUCUUUUCAUUUUAGUGUAUGAAUAAAAUCGAGAAGAUAUUGCAUAUAAAAAAAGAUGUAAUAUUUUUCGCAGUUUUUUUUAUAAAAAAAUUUGAGUAAUGAUAUUGGAACAUUAUUAUUUUGAAUAUUUAUCAACACUUUUUAUUUUUCUUUAUCUUUCUUUCUAGCAUGUCAAAUCACUAUUGCGUAUAAUAUGAAUGGGCAAGAAUAAGUAUAUCUUAUACAAAUAGUAUCGAAGAUUAAAAGUCCAGAUAUCAAAUGCACAUGAUUAAUUGUGUUCUCAAAAUUAUACAUUUUAUUUUGCAACUAAGUAAUUGAGGAAAGAAAUUAAAUUAAGAUGUGAUUGAUGGUCAAUUAUCUAAUGCAAGAUAUCAAAUCUAAACGAGUAAGAUAGUAUGAAAGAGAAGAUGAUUUCCGGCAUACCAAUUCUAUCAAUCCUAAUUCUAACAAGAUUAUUGUUAAUUUCCCGUUUUCUAAAGUCAAUUAUUAGUCAUUGAUUGUGGUCUAAUAAUGCUCUUUGUCUUAAACAAUAGUCAAUUGAUCGUUGACGUAUUAAUGGCUGACCAGCUUCAGCUCAUCUCUGGGUUGACUGAUCUAUACAUUGCCAGCUAUGUGGUCCUUAUAGGAUUGAAGCAGACUCAAAUACAUAAGGCUUCCUCCAAUUGGGGAUUUGAUGAUAUGGCUAGUAGGUGAUAUUUGUGGUUGUGGUGGCUCUUGUUGUGCCUUAGGAUAUGGCUCUGGUUGUGCCUGUGCCUUUGGCUCUUGUCGAGAAGCCUUUGAAUCACAACAUGCUGACAUAGUCACUCAUUGCCUCUGAAACUCAGCAUUUGAUACAAAGGCAAUAAGCUUUGUGUGAUCAUUCUAAAAAGGGUAGGAAUAUCAAUUAAACAAUAAAUUAGAUAAUUUAAAAACAAAAAAUUGAUGAAUAACACAACAGAAUCGUAUUUCUGUUAUGGUUUUAUAAAAACAACACAUCAAAAAUACGAUUUUAUUGUGCUAUUUGAUAAAUAAUACAACAUAACCGUAUUUUAAUUGUAUUGUUUUCAAAACAAAACAAAAAAUAACACAACGAAAGUGUGAUUUUGUUGGUUCUAGGUUCAUAAUCACAAUAGAAUCGUACUUCCAUUGUAUUUUUGUUUUGUUUUGAAAAACACCACAACAAAGUUAUGAUUCUGUUGUGAUUUUCAACCCAGUACAUAAUGGAACUAGUAUUCCAUUGUGUUCUGUGUUGAGAAUCACAAUGAAAUUGUACUUUUGUUGUGGUGUUUUCCAAAACAAAACAAUAAAACACAACAAAAGUAGGAUUCCGUUGUGAUUCUCAACCCAGAACACAACGAAAUCACACAACUAUUGUGUAUAAAAAAGAAAAAAAAAUAACUUAAUAGAGCUCCAAAAUGAGAAAUGAAUGGAGAAGAGAGAAGGGUCUUCGACGAAAAUGAGAAAAUGAAAGGGAGCGGGAAAGAAUGAAGGAAGAGAAUGAGAGGGAGUGGGAUUGAAGGGACUUGGAUGAGAGGAAGAAAAUGAGAAGGAGUGAGUGAGAUAGAGAGAGAGAGAGAGAGACGCUUGAGAGGAAGGGGAAUGGGUGGGGGUGAGAAGAAGGGGUUGGGUAGAUGCGAAAGGGAAGGGGUGAGGGUAAGCGGAAACUGCCUUAAGGACAAUUUCAUAUUUCCACUACCAUUUUCAAAAAUGGUAGUGUCAAUAGCAGUGGGAGGUAGUGGGAAUAGCAGUUCCUGAAUAAGUGGAUUAUGCAGGCUAGCCUAUGAGCCCACAAACUAAGUCCGUCAAGUCCACUGGUUUCAUGGGCCAAACUCAAGUAUUGCCUAUAGUUAUGUGGGUUAAAAAAAGCAGGUUCAUUAUCCACGCGGUCCGCUAGCUUAACAAGCCGACCCACGAACUUAGGCCCAUAUACCCACCUCUAGUGAUGGCGAGAUGAAGACGGAAGUGAUAAUGACUCCGAUAGCAACAAAAUGGUGAUAGUAGUGAUAUGGAGUAAAUUUAAAUAAUAAUUGUAUAAUAUUUUUAUAUUAAAUAAAAAGUAAAUUUAUCUUUUAAAAAAACAUCAUACCAUUUAAAUGUACAUUGAUAUUUUUUUAAACUUUUAUAUAUAAAAUAAAAUAAAAAACUAGCAAUCCUCCCCUCAUUUGGAAGAUGUUUUUUCAGACUUGUUACUUAAAAAUCAAAUCAAACUAUUUUAAAUUACUAUAUAUGGAUUAAAAAAAAUUGAAAUUUAAUCAAAUUGAUAAAUAAAAAGAUGGCAUUUUUUUAAGUUUCUAUUAUUAAAAUUGAACAAAAUCAAAUCAAAUGGAUAAACUUAUAUUAUUUGUUUUGUUUACCCCAUAUAAAAUCACAUUCUUUCUUUAAUUAACCCCUUUAAAAUCCCAUUUUAUUUUAGACUUUUAUCUAUACACCAAUAUUUUUUUACCAUUGUUAGGUCAAAAGACCUUUGAGUCUUAAGACAAAUCAAGACCCUUAAACAUUUUGAUUAAAUACAAAUAAAUACAAAAGUUAAAAGUUGUAUCUUACGUGCACUCAAAUGAAGAAACAUUGCAUUUGCAUCUAAAGUUUCAAAUGGAAGUAGAUAAAUGUAUGAUCUAAUGCAACAUUUAAUAUCUCAUUUAAGACUUUAAUUUAAUACUUUGUGCUUGAGAUUCAUUUUGCAUAAUUUGUUUUAAAAGGCAUUCUCCUAGGAUCUCUCAAAAUCCUAAGAAGAAUAAAAGAACUUUAAGAGCCUGGAAGUUCAAAUAGUAUCAAAACUCGUGCUCUGUUGUGAUAGACCUGGUCUAACAAAAAAUAAGUGAUUUUUUGCUAAAGUAUCCUUCAAGGAAGCUAAAGAGAGUGAUUUUCCAGCAUGAAGCGGACAUGCAUUUUAUACAAACAUUGAAUGCCCCAACGAACACUUCUUCAAACACAAGCUUCAAUGAAAAAUUCUACUCAUUUAGGCACAAUAGAAACUUGAAGAAGAAGGCUUAUAAAUACCAAAGGCUUUGAAGAAGAGCUGUAACUAAUGAACCUACACGAAAAGAUUCAAAUUCUCUUGUUCUUUCUUCUCAAGCUUGUAUAUCCAUUAGUAAGACGAUUAAGAACUAGUUAGCGAGCCAACCAAACAACAAAUAUUUUGAUUUGUUUUAGAGCCAUUAAUGGCUUCGUAGAACAAAAAAUACUAGGUUCUUCAAGCUUGUUCUGUAAGAGUCAGAAGUGGCAGUGAAAAAUAAUACUUGUAACAUGUUGGAGUUAGUGAAACUUGGUGGUUUGCUCGAGAUGCAGAAACUUUAAUGAAUUUGUUAACACAACCGAUCUAAAAGGACGUCCUCAUGCUUCUUAAGCUUUACCCAAAUUUGGCCUUUUACAUUGGUUGUCAAGCAAGUGAUUUAAAAAGAAAAUGUUUUAUAUCAAUUGUGUUUACAAUCGAUGCAAAAAGUAUUGAUGUCCAUCAAAUAAUUAAUGGAUCUCACAAAAAGUGCAUAAGUGUUUCUUUUUAAACAAUUGAGAGACCAAAUUUGACCUUUUAAUAAAUGAGGGAUAAAAUUGAACCUUAAAAUAUAGUUAAGGGACAAAUUGUAUAAUUAAGCCUUAUUUAAAUCUUGUAAUUAAAUUAGGUAAGUGUCAUAUUUAUAAUAAAAUUUGAAUAAAAAAUAUUUAAUGAGGUUAUUUUAAUAAAGGAUUGACUUUCCCAAGAAUCCUGAUACACCGGUGUACCAGAUAAGUAUCCUGCCAACCAAAAGGAUGAAUACUAAAAAUCCAAUACAUCACAAUUAUCAUAAGAACCCAACAUUCAGUCACUUGAAUACCCUUUGGGCUAAUGUCAAAACAUCUAGUAUGAUAAAAGACACUCUAAUCAAGAUUAAAGAGAUAAUUGAACAUUGUAAUCACACUUAAAAUAAGAUUAUCUAAAAUGGUAAUCAUGUAAAAAAAUCUCACAGGUCCGUAGACCGACCAUUAAAGUAAUUAUAAAUAGAUAUGAGAAUCUUGAGGUAAGAGGAUUGUUCAGUCAUUUAUUACUCUAGGUGAAACCUUAUUUGAGUGUCGAAGUGCAUUUUGCACCCAUCCUUCAAAAGAAGAACCCGCUAAGCACACUAAAGCGAGAUACAUCAAAGUGAAAGAUAUAGCAAGGAGAAAGGCAUCUGGGCACUUCAAGCAUGAACAUCAGGUAUGAAAAAAUUUUCUCUCCUACCAAACAUCCUAUAGUUAAUGGAUAUUCUCUCCUCCCUAAUCCCCUUUCUACAUUAUCUUCUCAUUCAUUUCCUUCUUUUGCUAAUUUUCUUCCUACUAAAUGCUACCUUUUAAUUACUUUUCAAAUUUAUCCGAUGAAUUAAGAUAAACAUAUUUUUUAAAUUGAAUAACAAUUGUAAUAUUUGUGUGUGAAAACAAUUGUAAUUUUUUUAUUAUUCCAGUUAUGGGAGCCAAUUGUUAAACCACUAUUUAAUAUUCAUGAGGAUAAAAAUAUCAAACAAUUAAUGAUUUGUUUCAAGUGGCCUUAAACCGACAGUAUGCCAGAGGACUUGUUUUCUUGAGUAUAGGUUCAUGGACAUUUAAUUAUGGUGAUGAUGAUACACUCGAUUUUUCACUAUUUAAAACUGUAAGUUGAUCUAUCCACUUGAUGAUAACGAAACCUUUAAACUAUGUAUUCUUAAUUGAAAAUAAUAAAGUCUUCAUCAUUGCCAGCGGAUGCACAAGCUACACAUAAAAAUUAGGCUUAAUAUAUUUUAACUUUUUAAUUUCUAAUUUGAUGUAUUUUAUCUUUAACUUUUAAAAAAAAUUCUGAAUUUUACUUUAUAAAUUACUGGUCAGUAAAAUACAACGAAGGCCUUAGAUCCAUGUUGAAAGAAUGGCAAUCGGAGAGUGGAGGCAUAAUCUACUACUCCUACUUUGACACUUUUGCCUGCCAUCAACGACCUUAUUCAGACUCCAGCUUCUUAUGGUACCAUUUUAUACGUACAAUAACAUAUCCAAAUAUUAUUUUCUUUCUUAAUUCUUUUCAUUUCUUUAUUAAAAUUAAGAAACUUUCCUUUCUCUUUUAUUUUUUAUUCUAAUUCAAAUAACUUUAAAAUUUAUUAUCUUUCUUCUCUUUUAUUUCUUUCCUCUACCAAAAGAUGUUUAUUAGUUUUGUUUUGAGUAAAUGACCAUUUUAUUUUCUAAAUUUGUAUUUUGUUAUGGUUUUAGUACUUAAAAUCAAGAAAAAUUCAAAUAAGUUCACGAACAUUUUUAGUGUUUCACUUAAAUCUCUGAAAGUAACUUUUUUUCUUUUUCUUAUUUUGGUUCCUAAACUCAUGUUGUUAUUAUUACCUAAGUCCUCGUACUAGGGGUCAAAAUGAAAAAAGAAAAGAUGUUAGGUUAAGAGACUUAUUUGGUGAGAUACAAAUUUAGGAAAUGAAUUGGCUAUUUACUCUUUUGUUUUUAUAAAGUUGAUUUCUAAUUAAAAUAAGUUUAAAUCACUUUUCAGGAUUUAGUGAGCCAGAGCUCCCAGCCUGCCAUUGUCAAACCUUUGUCCUAACAGAGACAAGAUCACAUCUUCUUUGACCAAAUUCCAUCCUACGGAGGCGUUGCUCGUUUGUUUGUUAUUUGUUAUAAACUUUUUUAUGGCCCUUCAAGUUACACAUUGUAGAAAAUAAUAUUAUAAAAUGUAACAAUUUUAUUAUAUAUAACCCAUUGAUGGCCCUUCAUAUUUAUCCAAUAGCUUAUCUCUAACUUUGAACAUUAACAUUGCAAUCGCGCUUCUGUUUUUAUUUUUUUUAAUUUUGAAAUUUGUAAAAAAAUCUUUCAUUCUCUUUUCACUGCUAAUUUUCUUCCUACUAAAUGCUACCUUUUAAUUACUUUUCAAAUUUAUCCAACGAAUUAAGAUAAACAUAUUUUUUAAAUUGAAUAACUAUUGUAAUUUUUGUUGUUGUUGAAAACAAUUAUUGUUUUUUAUUACUCCAGUUAUGGGAGCCAAUUUUAAACCACUAUUUAAUAUUCAUGAGGAUAAAAGUAUCAAUCUACAAUUAAUGAUUUGUUUCAAGUGGCCUUAAUCCGACAGUAUUUGGAGGACUUGUUUUUUUUAGUAUAGGUUCAUGGACAUUUAAUUAUGGUGAUGAUGAUAGUACCAUGAUAUACUCGAUCGUUUACUAUUUAAAACAGUAAGUUGAUCUAGUCUCUACUUGAUGAUAACAAAACCUUUUAACAAUGUAUUCUUAAUUGAAAAUAAUAAAGUCCUCAUCAUUGCCAGCUGAUGCAUAAGCUAUCCAUAAAAAUUAGGUUUAAUUGUAUAAUUUUUUUAAUUUUUGAUGAAUUUUAUUUUUAACUUUUUAAUUUGACAUAUUUUACCUCUAAUUUUUAAGAAGCUUGUGAAAUUUAUCCUUCCCAUUUAUCUAUUAAAAAGCAUAAUAAUUGAUGGUAAAAUUUGUCAAAAAAAUAAAUAGUUCAAGAGUAAAAUUCGUAAAGAAUAAUAAGUCAGGGAUAAAAAGUACAAUUAUAUUAAUAGUUAAAUGAUGGGAGUAAAAUUCACAAGAUUCUUAAAAUUUGGGAUAAAGUAUAUCAAAUUAAAAAAAUUAAGGUAAAAUUCACCAAAAAUUUAAGAAAUUAAGGAUAAAAAAUACAAUUACGCCUAAAAAUUAUCAUUUUGUCUACCCCAAUGUUUUUUUUAUUUCAGCUUAAUUUAAGAAAUUAAGGAUAAAAAAUACAAUUACGCUUCAAAGAUAUUUACAAUCUUUCUAGUUAACGUUUUACAAAGAGUACUGUGUUUAAUUCAUGGUGGGAAUAAUGAAAAUUGAUUUUGAUUUGAUUUAAACACGAUUUUAUCAAAAUAUAAAUGCUUGGUUAUUGUUAGCUAAAGUUAUUUUGCUUUAUAAGAAGUGAUAAAAAGUAACUUUUAUGUUGAGUUAAAGAAGCAAUCUCGCUUUCAAGAUAAAAGCAUACAAACCCUUGUCGAUUUAAAAUAAAAUUUAAUAUUAUUUUCUUAUUUAUUUUGGUCAAAUAAUUUUUAAAAUUUAUUUAUCUGUUCCACAAUUAGCCUAUGAAACCGUUUUGUCUACGCAUAAUUAGACUUCUAAUAAACCCAAACAUAUUUUCAAAGACCAAAUCUGUAAAAGUAAGAAAAAAAUCAAUUAUUUCCUUAGAUAAAAAUUGAGAACAACUUGGCUAGUUUAAUCAAAUUUCAUUUCCCCACAUUUUGACAAAGUCAUAAGCUAGCUAGCUAAACGAACUACGACUUUUCUCACUGUGUACGUUUUCCAUGCCAAGUCUUCGGAAUCUUGGGCUCUGCAAGUUGAUGGUCAACUAGGCAGUUUUGCCAUUGGGUAAGUGGACCUAUUUAUAAAGGAUGGUCAAUUGAGCAAUUAAUUGAUUAACAUAUGUACCUAACAUAUGUCUAAGAUGCUUAUGUCUUUAACCAAGUACUAGUAGUUUAGAAUUUAAAUUUUAAUUAAUUAUUAGGUAUAAAAUAAAUUAUAUUAAAAAAAAACCUAUUUUACAUGUGUUCAAGAUUUCUAACGAAAAUUUAUUUUUAUUUUCAAUGAAAACAAUUUUAUAAUUAUAAAAAAUAAAACAUACGUGACCAAACACACAAUGUGUGUACAUAACAUAUGCUCUAUAAAUUAGCCUUUACUCCAAAAGACUAUCUCAUACCACAACACAUGUUUCCAAUGGCAAAUAAGUUCUCAGUUAUCAGCCCUUCCUAUUGUGUUCCUAACUCUCUUAACCUACAAAUUAACACAGAGAAAGGUGUUACUUACAACGUAAAGGGUAACCGUGUAUUUUACAUAAAAGAUACUUUGUUCACAUUUCACGGUCGUCGCGUGUUAUGUGAUGAUAAAGGAAGUCCCAUCGUCACUCUAUACAAGAAGGUUUGUUACUGAUCGAGGAGGCAUCUUAUACUCAUUUUUUUUUGAAUUUUUUUUCUAUUAAUUAAAUUAACUAAAUUGGUAUUAUAUAUUCUUAAUUUUUGUUUUUUAUCAGCAAAUAUUAAUUAUUAAUUUUAUUAGUUUUUUUUAGUAAAAAAAAAAUUGAAUCUAUAACCUCUCUUUUUCCUUCUUCCUUUAUCUAUCAAAUCAAUCUUAUAAUUAUUUGGUAUUCUUAAUUUUUGUUUAUAUGUAGAAUGUGACAUUGCACGGGCAAUGCAAAGUUUUCAGGGGUAAUAGCAAUGGUCCCUCUGAGUUGCUCUUUUCGGUGAAGAGAUCGUCAAUAAUCCCGAGUGGGAAGAUGAUUAGAUUAGAUGUCUUCCUUGAAAACAAGAGAAAAGGAAGCAUGUGUGAUUUUAGAGUCAUCGUUCGUGGAAGUAAAAAUUCAUGCACUAUUUAUGCCGGUGAAUCUCCAACUAUUGUUGCCAAGGUGUGUAUUGCAUGUGUUCUGGGCAUGUUUUUAUAUACACAUUAGUUUAAUUACCUAUCUAGUAUGGGUUUGGAUAAUUGCUGAUAUAAAGUGAUGUGUAAUUUAUAUUUAAAUAUUUUUAUGAUAAAAUUAAGUUAAGAGUAAAAUUUAGUAUAAUUUUUUAUUCUAGUUAGAAUUGCUUAACUCAGAAUCAAUUUUAGAUCCAAAAUCGAUUAUGAAUCUUUUUUAACAUAAAAUCAAACAUAUAAUUUUUGUUCUAAAAUCAAUUAUGAACUUGAAAAUAAUUUUUUUUUUUUGCUUUUAACUCAUAAUCAAUUCUAACCUGAAACAAAGCACACAUACUUUUUUCUUGAUAAUUAUCGGAAACCUUGAGCACACACAAAAUGAACAUUUCCCCUUUUAAUACGAUUUAUAACCUAAGGACAAAUUAUAAUUCGAACCCUAAACCACUUUUAUUGUGCCAAACUCUUAUUGAUCCAAACAAAUAAUUAAUACAACUGAAUGGAUAUAAUGACUACAUUUUAUCGCCCUCUUUCAUGUAGAUGGAGAAUAAUGGAGGCUUCAAAGUCUUGGUCUAUCCCAACGUGGACUACGCAUUCAUAGUGACACUACUUAUGAUUAUUGAUGACAUCAAAGAUUAUGAUGUGUUGGUAAAUGCGACGGUGAGUGGUGUCCUAACUGUGGCGACGGGGGGUAUCUUACCUAUUCUGACAUUGUUUGAGGGAGAAAAUUUAGAAGAAGAAACCUUAGAUGGAGAAAACUUAGAAGACGAAUACUUACAAGAAGGAGAAAACAACUCAGGUGGAGAAAACUUAGAUGGAGAAAACAACCCAGAAGGAGAAAAUUUAGAUGGAGAAAACUUAGAAGUAGAAAACAACUUCGAAGCUGAAACUUAGACGCAGCUUCGUAAGUGAGUGCUUGUGGUAUUGUUCUCUAAUUGGCAUUAAUGUUUAUGUAGUUUCAUGUCAAUAAUAAUCUGCAUAAUAAAGGUUUUCAUUAAAUGUCAAUGCAGAUUAGCCAGCUGGUUAAAUUCUUAUUAUGUCGUCGAAGUUUUAUUGUUGUAUAUGAAACAAAUUAAAAUUAAAUCUUGGGCACGAUUUUGGUUAGAACAGGUUGUAUCUUUUCAUUUUAGUGCAUGAAUAAAAUUGAGAAGAUAUUGUAAAUAAAAAAAGAUGUAAUAUUUUUCGUAGUUUUUUUAUAAAAAAAAUUGAGUAAUGAUAUUGGAACACUAUUAUUUUGAAUAUUUAUCAACA